GACGAACCGUCCAAACGUUAUUCGGUAUCACUGGGCUUAAAGGGUGCGUAGGCGGUCUGGUAAGUUGGGUGUGAAAUCCCUCGGCUCAACCGAGGAACUGCGCCCAAUACUGCUAGACUUGAGGGAGGCAGAGGUAAGCGGAACUUGCGGUGGAGCGGUGAAAUGCAUUGAUAUCGCAGGGAACACCAGUGGCGAAGGCGGCUUACUGGGCCUUUUCUGACGCUGAGGCACGAAAGCUAGGGGAGCGAACGGG
rnacentral:rRNA from 1 species